AGAGCAAUAUUAUAUAUGUGCACACCUGAAUCAUUAUGUAAAAACCAUUUAAUAUUUUUAUUAUCCUUGUGCACAACUUGUUUGUAGCUUAACUUAUUAAGCUAUGAAUGCCUUUUAUUAUACACUACUAGAAUAUUAGGGAUAAUUAAGUAUCAAAUAAAAAUAACUUUCAGCAACGGAUCUCUUGGCUCUUGCAUCGAUGAAGAACACAGCGAAAUGUGAUAAGUAAUGUGAAUUGCAGAAUUCAGUGAAUCAUCGAAUCUUUGAAUGCAUCUUGCACUCCUUGGUACUCUGAGGAGUAUGCCUGUUUGAGUGUUAUAAUAUUAUCAACUACUUUGAUUUUAUCAAAAUGAAGUUGGAUUAUGAAGGCAUUUUAAAUGCAGACCAGUUAUGUUUGCUCCUUUAAAAUAUAUUCAAGGAUGCACUUAUCUUGGGGUAUUCAUCAAUAUAUGAUAAACUUACUACUAUAUUGUUGAUACCAAGUUUGUGUCCAAAAUAUAUGUUUAUAUAACAAGUUUUAACCUCAAAUCAGGUAGGAUUACCCGCUGAACUUAAGCAUAUCAAUAAGCGGAGGA
rnacentral:rRNA from 1 species